rnacentral:lncRNA from 1 species
AAAAGUACAAAGUUGUACAGCACUGAAGAUCAAAAGUUGAAAAGGUUUUGCCAAAUACGGCAUUGUUUUUAUGCCCGGGAUAAGAACACUUUUAUAUAGAACGAUUCAUGCUAUUGCAAACAGUAAAUUUUAACAAAUGAAUGUGAAAGAUAUAUUCAUAAUGAAACUGAAGUAUUAACUUAUUACAGAAAACUAAACCCGAAUGCAUGAUGCAGCAUAGACACACCCGAAUCAAUCCAGGCGUCAACGCAAUUAAAAAAAUGACGUCACAUACGAUGGUGAAAAGGCAAACGUUAUGCCACAUUUGAAUUUAUGAAAUUUAGAAACAGCAUGACGUCACACAUGAAAAACUAUAAUUCAAAAGUGAGAUAGAAUUAGGAUUGCUUUAAGAUUAUAAAAUACUGAAUUUUAACAAAUCAUUUGAUAUUUUCUUGUUUCAUAGAUAAUAAAAAAAAUAUCGUCCAUUUGGAUAAAAAACGGGAAUGCAUGACAACAGAUUAUUUAACCUGAUAUUCUCGUUUUUCCAAUGGACGAGUCUAUUACGUUUUUGACACGUGUGUUGAAACUUAUUUUCGUACGACGUUUUUACUUUUUUUUUUCUUUAUCAGUUUUCGUGCUUAUUAUUUUUCACCAAGUUUUGAUUAAAAGCUAAGUCAAAUAACUGACGUGAAUCUGUUUUUCUUGUUUGUGAAUUGACGAUUUAAUUUCGUCUUUGUCAGUGUACCCCCCCCCCCUUUUUUUUACGGGAAAUUAUUAGACAAUGUCAUGCGAUGUUUACAGCUGAGCAAUAAUAAUUAUCAAACUAAAAUUUAAGAACGAUGAAAAAAUAGUAUGACAAACAUAUAUUAGAAAGGUGAAAUAUAUUUUUAUUUUGCAUAUCAGUUUUCUGUCUUGAAGAUCUUUUUUUUCUUUUUUUUCCCGACCGACCGACCCGACUUUUUCAUGGAGAAAAUCCGUAAACCAACAAAUUAAAAAACCGUG